GGGAGAGCUGGCCCUGCUGGCAAUGACUGCACUGGCCUAUGUGGGAGAGGCACAUGCCUCUACCAGGAGUUGCUCAACACACUGCUCCAGUGAAGGAUUCAGCAGGAAAAGAGACGUACCUGCUACAGGUUGAAGGCUCAUGAGGAACCAUCCCAAACCUCAGCAUGAACCCUCAUUGAAAACGACCCUCCCAGUCUCCCAAGAGGAGGGAAGAACAUGUAAAGGAUGCCAAGCUCAUGCCAUGCCAAGCUGAUGCAGAGCCAAUGAUCUUACUGACUGCCUUCCCCAGCAGCAACCCAAGGCUGAUGUGAAGACUCCUUAGAGGGGUGCAGAGGGGCUGAGCUGCUCCGAAUUAAGCGAGCCAUGCUGCUGCUGCAGGUAAUUCACAGUGAGUAUUUGUCAGCAUGGAAAUUCAACAGUGAAUAUUUGGGGGUAUAAAAUUUAUAUAAAACUAUGUUUGGUUGAAAACUACACUCAAAUUAACAAUAUUCAGUUUACAGACUGACUUUCAGAUUGCCAGGCCACUGGCUCCAGUGCAAGGUGGGCUUCACUGCAGCAUGGAUGGGGUGCAGAUGGCGAGGAGCAGACCCAUUGGGUAUUCUCCAGCCUCAGAGCUGUGCUCUGCUCCCAGCCAGCCCAGCU
rnacentral:lncRNA from 1 species